UCAGAGUUAACUUCCUCAUAAGUAAUUUCUUCAGCUACUCUUUUUCCCUUAGCCUUAUCUAGCUUAGCAGUUACCUCCAAAUAUUUAGUCUUUAAAUCCUUAAUCUUAUCAUUUGAAUCUUUUAGCAUUAUUUUAAGGAUUUCAUUUUCCCUCAUGUAAUCAUGCGUGAUUUCUUCCUUAGCUCUACCUACAGGAAUGCUCCU
rnacentral:lncRNA from 1 species